rnacentral:rRNA from 1 species
AAAGCGGGAGAGUAGGUCGCCGCCAGUU